GGCAAGUCCCAGAGAGCCCUGGGGACAGCCUGUGCUCCUAGCCCGCCUACCUGCCCACCCCAGGCUACAGCCCGGUGAACGGAACUGUGAUGCAUGAAAUGAGGGGGGAAAGACCGGUGAGGUCAUGCUGGCCUUGUUAACUGUUGGCAAAAAAGCAGGCAACAGAAAGGGGAAUGUCAGAUUGUCCAUGUGAGGAAGCAGUUGAUUUCACCUGUGAAUUAAUUUACUUCGUGCAGUGCUUGGAUUAAGCUGGCAGAACAUGAGAACCACAUCAGCAUGAUCAAAGCUUCAUAAGGAUCUAUUGGCAUUGAAAUAAGGAAGUAUUACACGUAAUCCAGGACAAUUGGCUGGCUUACUUGGGUGUAUCAGACAUUCCCAUAUCCUGUACAAAUAAGGAUUUGUGAGGCUCCAAGAUGGAUUGUGAAGCAGCCAUUAAUGCUUCUACGUGAUUAUGGAACUUGGGGAGCCAGCUUGGCAUCCCACUGGAAGUCAGAUGAUGUUAUGAUUACAAGGAAGUAUUGAUAUACUUCCCUAAUUGUUUCUUAGGACUUUGGAUUCUAUUUGUGAUGUCAUUACAAAGCUAUGCAUUAUCUGCAUAAUCGCCAAGGAAAAGACUCUCUCAUGAAGGGAAAUGCGUCCCACUGAGAUAAUGCCGCAAGCUACUGCUAUACAUCCAACGGCAUAUGUAUGGUGUUGAAAUAAUAAGACAGCAUGGAAUAAUGAUGAAGGCCAUAUUGUGUAUCAGGAGCUUGUAACCAUCUGGCAAUUUGCUGGUAUCCUGUAGGACUACUUACCUUGCAGAAUAAGGUGCUGAUUCACGAGGGUGCAAGCGAUGAGGAGCUCACUGCAAAAAGGAGCCCAGACUGCUUUACACAAGGAGACAGUAUGAGGCCUGGAGUGGUGCGGCUUCUAGCCCUUGUUGCCGUCUGCAUUAAGAACCUUCACUUUCUUCACUAGAUGCAGAAGUGGUGGGAGUCUGCUAUAAGCUUGCCUUUGUUUUUACUUCCUUCUGGGCAUUGCUUACAGGGGUCACAGACAUUCAGAUCAUGGCAGAACUGUCACAGAUGUUACUUUGUGAAAACACAAAGAAUAAUGUGUUUGGAGAGAUCAGUCUUCAAUUAGCUAUAUUUUCUAGGAGCCUACCUUUACUUAGCCUCACAACAUGGGCCUUAGCUUUAGCACUUAAUCUGCACAAAUACCUGGCUUAAGUGUUAUGACUGACUGGCUAUUCAACCAAACCAUACAAAUGACCAAUUCGGUAAGAAAGCAUGAACUUCAGUGUUGAACCAAAUCAACCAACCUCCUCAAUCCAAAUGAACAAUGCUAUUCUAGGAGUCUGUGCUAGAAUAAAAUCCUAAUGCAAAGGCUGUCUUAAAAUGCUGAACCCAGAAGAAUUUGGCAUAAAUAAGACAUGGAGUUAGCUGACAUGAGAUAUUACAUUUAUUCCACUGUUGACGAGGACAAAACUGGGCCGCUAUUGUCACAGGAGAUGCCUGUGAAAGAGGAUGGGCCAGGGUCAGCUUUCACCUUCAUAUCCUCCCAUGCAGAAAACGGAAGCAUGUUUGGGCUGAGAGGACAGGUUGCCAGUUGUCUGAACCAGUCAUUCCAACCAGGCUUCACACUUCUGCAAAGAAGAGAGGGCUAGAAUGCCCAGUAGGAGUGCAGACUGGAGGAUCGGCUGUUUUUUGAACUGGAGACAUCACAGGAAACUGGGGAGGCUCCAAAUUGCUAACCUGAGGCCGGAGCAAAAACUUUUUUUUUGUCGAAGGGACUGCUUUUUUUAUUUCCCCUUCAACGGAUGGCAUCCCAAGUCCUGCUGGAUUGCAUCUGUCUUUGUUCCUGCAGCCAAGCCUUGGUGAGCACACAGAUGCCUAACACCGUCAAAAUGGUACUAGGGAAGCUCAGAAGCAAGAUCAUCAAUAUUAUAUCAAUAUAUACAAGUUCUGAAGAGUCAUGGCAGAAGCAAAAGGAAGCAGCAAUGCUGAGGAAGUCUGUUCUGGAGGCACCAUGACAAAGCACCAGACAGAAAGCAGUCACGUGUGGGGAGAUGAGCAGAGACACCACUUCUCAAGCACCUGAUUAUUCUUUCUCAGUAUUUAGAAGCAAAAAUUAUCCUUAAGAAAAACAACCGCAAACGCAACACAGGCUACACAGAUGAGAAAAUGGGCUCAUGAAACACUGCACUAAACAGUCACAGGACCAAGAUAUAGAUUCCUAUUUCCAUUUUUUUAUACAGGUGAACAUAAAGAUUUUUCAGUCAAUAGCAUACACUGAACAUUGCUUCUAUAUAAAGAGCAGUGUUUCUCAAAGUGUGGUCCUUGGAACAGCAGCAUCAGUAGCAUCGGCUUGCAGAGCUCAAACCAUUACACCAUUCAGAAGCUGGCUUUGGUAUUACUUCAAGUUAUUCAAAACAGUCACCACUUGCUGAGCCUCUGAUGUCUCAUCUGUUGAAUGGGUACAUUUUCUUCCUGAUCCUUCCACCUCUAAACUUGUCUAUUUCCAAGGAUCUAUGGCAUCCAGGCAUAUGGUUCCCCAUCUUCGUUGAAGGCCCCACAUCAUUUGCCAUGAACUUGCAGAAGAUUUCAAGAGAGAAGGCUGAAAAGGAAGGUGACUGGAAUAUUAAGAACUGUGAGAUAUUCUGAGGAAACUCUAAUUUGUAAAUUGGUAGAAAUGCCAGUAAUUUGUUGGGAAUUGAAGACCCUCUGUAUUCAAGAGCGAAGCUUGGCAGCUGUGCACUGUUGUUUUAUAAAUCAAUAUUACAUCU
rnacentral:lncRNA from 1 species